AGAAUGCGCUGUUUAUCGUCCUUGAGGCCCCCUUUGAUUUUAACAAGAAUGACACGCUGGCUUCGGGGAAGUGCUGGUGUACAAUGUUGCAUGCGAACUCCAGCACCAAGAGAAGAAACAUCCACCUCCCUUCUCCAAUAUCCAGCACAAGUCAUUGAGCAG